rnacentral:rRNA from 1 species
AGCAGCCGCGGUAAUUCCAGCUCCAAUAGCGUAUAUUAAAGUUGUUGCAGUUAAAAAGCUCGUAGUUGAAUUUCGGGAUCAAUAUUUCGGUCAUGCCGUUGGUAUGCACUGUUAUCAUUGAUUUCUCACCUUCUAAAGAACCGUAAUGCCAUUAAUUUGGUGUUACGGGGAAUUAGGACUGUUACCUUGAAAAAAUUAGAGUGUUUAAAGCAGGCUCACGCUUGAAUACAUUAGCAUGGAAUAAUGAAAUAGGACAUCCGAUUCUAUUUUGUUGGUUUCUAGGAUCGACGUAAUGAUUAAUAGGGAUAGUUGGGGGCAUUAGUAUUCAAUUGUCAGAGGUGAAAUUCUUGGAUUUAU